rnacentral:rRNA from 1 species
UGAGGAAUAUUGGUCAAUGGGCGAGAGCCUGAACCAGCCAAGUAGCGUGCAGGAUGACGGCCCUAUGGGUUGUAAACUGCUUUUAUAUGGGGAUAAAGUGGGGAACGUGUUCCCUUUUGUAGGUACCAUAUGAAUAAGGACCGGCUAAUUCCGUGCCAGCAGCCGCGGUAAUACGGAAGGUUCGGGCGUUAUCCGGAUUUAUUGGGUUUAAAGGGAGCGUAGGCCGUUUGGUAAGCGUGUUGUGAAAUGUAGGAGCUCAACUUCUAGAUUGCAGCGCGAACUGUCAGACUUGAGUGCGCACAACGUAGGCGGAAUUCAUGGUGUAGCGGUGAAAUGCUUAGAUAUCAUGAAGAACUCCGAUUGCGAAGGCAGCUUACGGGAGCGCAACUGACGCUGAAGCUCGAAGGUGCGGGUAUCGAACAGG